rnacentral:rRNA from 1 species
AUGAACCAGGAGUUCUCGCUGGAGGUCUACUCCGCUGCCCACGCCGUCGUUCGGCUAUACGGUUUCCUUCUCACAGUGCCACCUGAACUGGGGACGGCCGACGACGAGCUCGACAUGAGCUGCCCCGGCGAUGACGAGCUGGUGGAAAUGGAGUACGUCCCCGAGGGGCGGUUUCUUGGAGGACCGGCGCCGUGGUUCGCCGACGCUGGGUGUACGGCCGGCUGCAUGCGGGUCGCCGCCGUGGAGGACCAAGAAGAAGACGCAGACAGCAAGCAGAUCCUGGUGCUCUACCGCUACGCCCCUUUUUCAGUAUCAUCGGACGGCGUGGUAGUGCGAGGGAGCACCAAGAAGCACCUGCUCCGGUUCAUGGCCACCGGCGACCACACGGCGAGGUCGCUGGCGUGGGCCGGAUCGUCUCUGCCCCGGCUGAUAUACCCCGGUCACUUCAGCGAGCAGCUCCAGGAGCUAUGGUUGAGCCUGGCGGCGCAGGUGAGCGUGCUGCCGCGGGCCGCGCGCGUCAAGGUGUUCGUCGACGUCGGCAUCCUCCGGAGGUCGUUGUUCGUCGAUGACGUCGACGGCAUGCUCCGGAGGUCGUACUACACGCCCGAGCGCAUGGAGUGGGCCGGUGAACGGCCAGUAAAGCGAAGGAGGGUUGUCGCCGCCGGGGAGGAUUGCCCCAUCUGCUUGCAGCUGCUCGAGGGCGACGACCUCGCCGCGUGGCCUGGGUGCGGCAAGCCCCACGUCUUCCAUGGCGCGUGCUUGGAGAGCGUCCUCGUGGAGAGCAAGACGUGCCCUAUGUGCAGGCGCACGCUGUACGUCGAG